AUUGAACGCUGGCGGCAUGCUUUACACAUGCAAGUCGAACGGUAACAGGCCGCAAGGUGCUGACGAGUGGCGAACGGGUGAGUAAUGCAUCGGAACGUGCCCAGUCGUGGGGGAUAACGCAGCGAAAGCUGCGCUAAUACCGCAUACGAUCUAUGGAUGAAAGCGGGGGACCGUAAGGCCUCGCGCGAUUGGAGCGGCCGAUGUCAGAUUAGGUAGUUGGUGGGGUAAAGGCUCACCAAGCCAACGAUCUGUAGCUGGUCUGAGAGGACGACCAGCCACACUGGGACUGAGACACGGCCCAGAGUCCUACGGGAGGCAGCAGUGGGGAAUUUUGGACAAUGGGCGCAAGCCUGAUCCAGCAAUGCCGCGUGCAGGAAGAAGGCCUUCGGGUUGUAAACUGCUUUUGUACGGAGCGAAACGGCUCUGGUUAAUACCUGGGGCUAAUGACGGUACCGUAAGAAUAAGCACCGGCUAACUACGUGCCAGCCGCCGCCGUAAGAC
rnacentral:rRNA from 1 species